rnacentral:rRNA from 1 species
AUUGAACGCUGGCGGCAGGCCUAACACAUGCAAGUCGAGCGAGCGGCGGACGGGUGAGUAAUGUAUGGGAAUCUGCCCGAUGGAGGGGGAUAACUACUGGAAACGGUAGCUAAUACCGCAUACUAUCGGAUGUGCCCAGAUGGGAUUAGCUGGUAGGUGUGGUAACGGCUCACCUAGGCGACGAUCCCUAGCUGGUCUGAGAGGAUGAUCAGCCACACUGGAACUGAGACACGGCCCAGACUCCUACGGGAGGCAGCAGUGGGGAAUAUUGCACAAUGGGCGCAAGCCUGAUGCAGCCAUGCCGCGUGUAUGAAGAAGGCCUUAGGGUUGUAAAGCACUUUCAGCCGGGAGGCGUUACCCACAGAAGAAGCACCGGCUAACUCCGUGCCAGCAGCCGCGGUAAUAC